rnacentral:rRNA from 1 species
CCUACGGGAGGCAGCAGUGGGGAAUAUUGGACAAUGGGCGAAAGCCUGAUCCAGCAAUGCCGCGUGAGUGAUGAAGGCCUUCGGGUCGUAAAGCUCUUUUACCAGGGAUGAUAAUGACAGUACCUGGAGAAUAAGCUCCGGCUAACUCCGUGCCAGCAGCCGCGGUAAUACGGAGGGAGCUAGCGUUGUUCGGAAUUACUGGGCGUAAAGAGUACGUAGGCGGUUAUUCAAGUCAGAGGUGAAAGCCCGGGGCUCAACCCCGGAACUGCCUUUGAAACUAGAUAACUAGAGUCUUGGAGAGGUUAGUGGAAUUCCGAGUGUAGAGGUGAAAUUCGUAGAUAUUCGGAAGAACACCAGUGGCGAAGGCGACUAACUGGACAAGUACUGACGCUGAGGUACGAAAGCGUGGGGAGCAAACAGGAUUAGAUACCCUGGUAGUCCACGCCGUAAACGAUGGUAACUAGUUGUUCGGUCACUUGGUGACUGAGUGACGCAGCUAACGCAUUAAGUUAUCCGCCUGGGGAGUACGGUCGCAAGAUUAAAACUCAAAGGAAUUGACGG